AGGAAGUAGCUUCCGUUCCGCCACUGCGGUGGGCUUACUCGCCUGUCUCCGGCUGUAGACGACGGCGCGAGCUCUCUCGUCAGAUGGAGGUGGAGGCUCCACAAGCUUCUGCUUCUCCCAUGGCGGCUCACGCGUUCCACGAUGGUUUUGAUGAGCUCCAGCUUCGCGAUCUCGUGGCGAGCAGCUCGUUGAGCUUCGACGAUUGGACUUCUCUGAUUUCUGCUGUGGAGAAUGCAUAUCCGGAUGACAUAGAAAAGUUGUGCCUGGUGUAUGACUCUUUCUUGUGUGAGUUCCCAUUGUGCCAUGGAUACUGGAGGAAGUAUGCAGAUCACAACAUGCGCUUGUGCAGUAUUGAAAAGGUUGUUGAUGUGUUUGAACAAGCUGUACUGUCAGCAACUUAUUCAGUUGAUCUGUGGGUGGAGUACUGUCACUUCAGCAUGGUGGCUUUUGAGGAUCCAGAUGAUGUUCGUAGAUUGUUCAGAAGGGGAUUAUCAUUUGUUGGCAAGGAUUACUUAUGCCAUUCCUUGUGGGAUAAGUACAUUGAAUUUGAACUAGCCCAGCAACAGUGGAGCUCUCUCGCUCACAUAUAUGUGCAGACUCUGAGAUUUCCUACCAAAAAGUUACAAUAUUACUAUGACAGCUUUAAGAAGUUAGUCACCAUUUGGAAAAAGGAGAUAGUAAGCACAAGUGAGCUUGACUUGGAAUUCAACCGCGAAAGUGAGAUCCAGAGUGAAGUGCAAACAUUUUAUAAAGAUGAGGAAAUUGCCAGUGUUGUUGGAAAUAUGUUGGGUUCAUCCAAUGGCCUGGAUAGGUCAAGGGCACUUCACAAGUACAUGAAAAUAGGAGAAAAGCUUUCCAAGGAGUCACACCAAAUGGAUGAAAAGAUUUGUGGCUUUGAGUCAUGCAUUCGGAGACCUUAUUUCCAUAUGAAGCCACUUGACGACAAUCAGGUGGAAAAUUGGCAUAACUAUUUGGAUUUUGUUGAGAAGCAAGUUGAUUUUGAUUGGGCUGUUAAACUCUAUGAGAGGUGCCUGAUUCCUGCUGCAAACUAUCCUGAAUUUUGGAUGCGUUAUGUGCAUUUCGUGGAAACCAAAGGAGGAAGAGAGUUGGCUAACUCUGCAUUGGACAGGGCAGUGGGCAUUUUUCUCAAGAGAAUUCCAGUGAUCCAUGCAUACAAUGCCAGGUUUAAGGAGAAAAUAGGUGAUGUCUUAGGCGCGCGUGCUGCUCUUGUCCAUAUUCGUACAGAGCUGGAUACUGACUUUGUGGAAGAUGCCAUCAUGAAAGCAAACAUGGAGAAACGCUGGGGAAACCUUGUGACUGCAUCGAAUAUAUAUGAAGAAGCGCUAAACAAGGCCAUGUUGAACAAAAAAUUUAAUUCUCUACCCUCCUUAUAUGUGCAUUAUUCACAGCAUUUGUAUUUGACAACUCGCAGUGCACAUGCAGCGAUAGAUGUCCUGGUAGAUGCUAUUAAACAUUUGCCUCAUUGCAAAUUGCUCUAUGAGGAAUUGAUAAGAUGUGCAAUGAGCCAAGAAGGGAUGGAACAUAUAAAUAUCAUCGAGACUGUUAUAGCCAAUGCAUUGUAUUUGCAAUCUAGCGAAUCUCAAGUUUUGGACUCAAAAGAUGGGGAGGAUGUAUCAAACCUAUAUCUAAAGUAUGUUGAUCAAUGUGGAAGCAUUUAUGAUGUAAUGAGGGCAUGGAAUUGGCAUGUAAGAAAGUUUCCUCGUUCUCUGAGGACAAGUGUGUGUUCCCAAGCAACUACUAGUACCACUAUAAAAUCUUUCAAGAUUGUCACCGAAGAGAAGCGAAGAUCAUGUGUGAUUGAGCCUGAUGAACCGUUGGGAGACUGUUGUAAAGUCCCAUUAAAGCAGUCCGUUCAGGAGGAUGGAUCUUUAGUGCGAGUAAGAGGUGAUCCAUCUGAGCAGUUUAACCCAGGGGAAAGAUACAGUAGUUUACCAUUGCCAAGUCAUGAGGUUCAAUAUGGCAGUGCUGCAAUACAUCCGCAAGACUCUGGAGCAUCUGAUGAUGGUAAAAGUCAGAGAGCUCAAAAUGCUUUACAGCAAUCCAGAGAUAAUUCUCCCAAUGGGUCAGAUGUGGAUCUAGUUGGUGAUGAAGCUGCUAAGGAAGCUGAGUCAGUUCAAUCUGAUUUAACAUGCUCCAAGGACAAUAACCAAUCAGGGCAUGACAUAACCAAUAAUGAGUUGAUGCCACUUUCGCUUGGAACACUUUCUUUGCAUCCUCAAGAAGAUAGAACUUCUGGAUCAAUCUCCAAUUCUUCUCAUAAUGGUGAAACUUCUGAUGAGCCCCAGGUUACAAAUGAAAUCUUGCUUGUUGGUGGUUCUCGAGAAACUAGCCUGUCAAACGAGAGUUUGCCAGGGAGUGGCUACAGGAGUUACCAGGAUCCAAAGAGGUCCAGUCCAUUUGGCAGUCAAGGUUGUGAUGGUGCUGAUGCUCAAAGGCAAACAAAUAAUGCGACGUAUAAAGGAAGCCAUCAUGAUCAUUAUUCAUCAGGGUCACUUCCAAACCAGCAUGAGCCUGCCAAUAGGGGUCAAAGCUGGCAUCAUGACAGAGUUCGCACGGAUUCCAGAUUUGGAUCCCGUGGGCAUUUACGGAGGAAAUCACAACAUCAACACGAGUCUUCUCAGUCAAGUCAUGGACGAGGUAAAAUGGGAGGUCGACCAAAUCAGCAAGGAAAAAGCCCGUUUCACGCUGCAACUCAGGGUAAUCCAAUGUCACCUCAUGCAUGGCCUAUGCAAAAUGUGCAGCCACAGAGUUUCGCUCAUGGACCUCAGUCUCAGUUGCCUGUACAAUCUGCAAUAUACCCCCAAGCUCAGAUGUUCCAGUACCCUCCACUUGAUACUGAGCAAUAUGGGCAAAUGCAGAAUACCAUAGCAUAUAAUCAGAUGUGGCAAUAUUAUUACUACCAGCAACAACAAUUUAUGCAACAGCAACAGCAACCUCAGCAGCAACAGUCCCAGCAUCAACAACUUUCACAGCAACCAUAUCAACAGCAACAAGUAUUUUAUCAUCCACAGCAGCAGUGGCAACAGCAGCUGCAACUAAAUCAACAAUACCAGCAGCUGCAGGUCCAACAGCUACUUCCACAUCAACAGUCCAAUGACUACCAACAACUUCAGCAGCAAGAGCAGCCAUGGCCAUUGCGACAACCGUUACCUCUGAAACCCGACGCACUGGAUGAACAGCAAGCGGAACAUCAUAAUCAGGAGUCAGAGAUGCCAUGGGUACAGCAGCAGACGAUACAGCAAGGGGCAGAAGUUGAAGAAGAGAAAAGAGGGGGAGUACAGGAGGCAGUGGACUCUGCAUCAGAGAUUUAGAUAGGUAACAAUGAAAAUGUUAUCCUUAUUGUUUUUCAGUGGUAAUUGUUCCGAAGGUUCAGGCUAAAAGUUAACCUGUCAAUGGGUGCUUAUUGAAAGUAGAAUCACAUUGCAAAAUCUGACUAUUCCAUUAUUUGAGAUAUGUUUCAGCUGAAAUGUUUGAUGAGGCAAUAGUCUGAGUUUAUCUCUUCAUCGGCUACCUUUAUGUUCUUCAUCCUGCAAAAUAGGAAUAGGUGGCCAAGUCGCCAUGUUGUGCAAAAUGAAGCUGCAAUUGCCCUCAGAUUCGACUCCCCAAGUCCCAAUUCGACUUUGUGGCUGAGUCUUGUUUGGAAUAGAGGGGAACCUUUUCGGAAGUUCACUCGAUCGCUCAUCAUCAUGAGGUAUCUUAUCAUGUAAUCCGCCCCCAGAAUGUUCAGAUUUAGCAGAUUAUCCGCCUAGCUUUAUGGAAUUUCUAAUUUGCCCGAAAAGUAUCUGAACUAGUUAUUUGUAAUUGAUUUGAUUUC